CUGGAUUAAGAUAAUCCAGUGAUCAAAAACAUUUCAUAAAGCACAGAGAUGUAGCGUGAAAGACAACAGGGACAACUCACUGUUUUCCUUUUUUCUUAAGUGUCAAACUUCACUUAGCUGACAAAUCUUAUAACAAACUUAACUAAUGAAAGGGCUACUUUGAAAUUUAGUGAACAGCCUUAAAAGAUAAAUGCUAUUUUCAAACAUUUACAAUUUCUUUGGAGACUACUUUCUUCUUCCCACUGUCUUGCGAAUAUGUACAUGCCCAACUCCCACAGACAAAAUACAGCACGACAUACAGAAUCUUCAUGAUGAGAUAAUGAUAUUUGUGUUCUUUCCUAAAAGGCUGUUCCUUUCUAACACUUAGUUUUCUACUACCUUAUCAAUUUCUCUGAAUGCUAGCAGUGAAAAGAAAAUUGUAUCAGAAGAAGAAAGGGGUGGCAAAUAACAAAAAGGCAGGAUCAACACACAAAAAAAGAGUCAAUGGUUUGACCAGAGUUAAGGGAAGAAACAGAGAAAUUAAAUUAAUGCCAUCCAAUUAUAUUACAGUAUUUUGUAAGAACAUUAGCCAGGAUCUGUAUUUUAUUUCACCAGGUGGAAUAAAGGUGGCAGAAGGAGAUCACGUUCUCUGCUCUGCAUGAGAUACACAACUAGCUCAGAAAAAUUAAAAGUCUUGCAACCAGAACAAAGAGCAGAUUUUUUUUUUUAUGGCUAUUACUAAGAUCUAAAAGGCAAUGGCUGUUCAUCCUUUCUACAUAUUUUUCUAUCAUCUCUUCCCAGCUGGAAUCAGAAACAGAAGGGCCAAAUUCCUUGGAGACGAGAUGCUUCUGUCCAUCUUAGCUCUUUGUAGCAUGCCACUCAUCUUCACUACUGAGGCCCUUCCAGAGGCACAUCUGGACCAAAACAGACUCUGCUGUUUGAUCCUCCACAAUGGAUUCUAUGCAGAUACAAAAAUUAGAUGUGACCCUGGGGAACACAUUCAAAUAAAACAGAGGCUACUAGAAAAAUUAUUAGAAGAGUACCAGGGAUGGGAUUUCUCUGCUAAAGGCUAAAUAAUGUUAAUUUCCUAGAAACUGAUCCAACCUUUAUACUCGGUGGCUCAGCACUACAGGCAGCACAUCUGUUUGCUGUGUGAAGGUCCUGGGUUUGGGAAGGACUUGGCAUUCCUCCUUGUGUGGUCAGCAGGGUGUCUAGAAACUGAUGCUUCGCUUGAUGUGGCAAACUACAGGGUUCCAAGAAUAAUGAUGUCUGAAACAUUUUCCAGAGAAUAAACAAAUUUAUCCCUUCUUCUUCCUUGUGACA
rnacentral:lncRNA from 1 species